UAGGACAGCUGGAUAUUAGGAGAUAUAUAUAGGGAAAACUUUAAAAAUCACCCAUGUGGUUUCGUAGUUUCUCACUGUGCGACCCUGUAGUGUGGUUUCGUAGUUUCUCACUUUGCGCCCCUGCGGUUUAAAAUAUAUCAAUUUGCUCCCUUGUAGUUUCUUUUUUCUCUUUUUCUUAUCAAUUUUAUUAUUUCUUUUCUUAAAUUAGUGAUAAAGUUAAAAUUAAAGAGUACUAAAGUGAAUAUUUGAUAAAUCUAUAUGGAUAUCUGAAAUUUUUUGUAUAUAAUUUAAUGAAAUAUUAACGAAAAAGCUAUCGAAAAAAUAAAAACGAAACCAUAGAGGGGACAAUUUGAUACAUUUGAAAUCACAAGGGGGCAAAGUAAGAAACUACGAAACAACAGGAGGGUUUUGAAGUUUUU
rnacentral:lncRNA from 1 species